GACGAACCGUGCAAACGUUGUUCGGAAUCACUGGGCUUAAAGGGCGCGUAGGCGGGCCAGCCAGUCUGUGGUGAAAGCCUCCAGCUUAACUGGAGAAGUGCCGUGGAUACUGCUGGCCUCGAGGAGGGUAGGGGCAUCUGGAACGGUCGGUGGAGCGGUGAAAUGCGCAGAUAUCGGGAAGAACACCCGUGGCGAAGGCGGUUCUCUGGGACGGUACUGACGCUGAGACGCGAAAGCGUGGGGAGCGAACAGG
rnacentral:rRNA from 1 species